CAUAUAGUCCAGCAGGUAGAACGCAUGACUGUUAAUCAUGAUGUCGCCGGUUCGAGUCCGGCUAU
rnacentral:tRNA from 1 species